CUUCCUUCCUUUUCUCUCUUCUUCCUUUCUAACUGUACCUAACUAGGCUCUCUCCUCUGCCUUGUUUCCUCCAUAUCUCCCUCCCUCGGAAAUUGAACCACCCAAACAAAAACAAACACACACACACCUUCCCUUCUUCCUUCCUUCCUUUCUACCUUCUUCCUUCCUAACUAUACCUAACUAGGCUCUCUCCUCUUCCUUGUUUCCUCCAUACAUCCCUUUCUUCCUCCCUCCCUCCCUCGGAAAAUGACCCACUCAAACACACACACACAAGGCUUUCGUAGAGGUUUGGGGCAUUUCCAGGGGUAGUUUGAUGGCCAUAGUGGUAGUGUGACCCUUCUUCUGUACCAUGAAUGUGAAAAAAAAACUCAUGAAAACCCGACUGAUCUCCUUUUCGGCCUUUGGAAAUAUGUGACAUGAGAGGAGGAAGCAUCUGAGAAUACAAAUGGUCUCAGAGGGAAGGGAUAAUCAUACAAAUUUUUAGCUUUCUCUCCACAUAGUUAUAUUCACCCUACACUGUGGCGGCUACUUUUCCUCCACUCUACAUAUACAGUAAUGCCGAUAACACUGUGGUUACUAUAUUUGUUCCACCCACAGUAACGCUGGUGCCAUAGAGGGCCACUUUCACAGUCUGCCAUGAUGGGUUAGUAAUCUCCCGAACCGAUACCAAAGACUUCAAAAUUUCCUUGUAGCAACAUAUAUAGUGUUUGGUGUUCGUAUUUUAACCUGGUAGCAGCAGGGAUCAUGUUUCUUAUUGGUCCCUCUAAGCGAGAAAAAAUGAGAAAAAAUCAUUGCUCACACAAACCAUUUCAUAAUAUAUAUCAAAGCAUUUGUGAUCAGUAUAUGUAUCAUCUAUUUUGAGGGAUUUAUACCAUGGCACAAAUUUGGCCCGUCGCUGCUACACAGUAAAGCCACAAAUCUGGCCUGUUGCUGCUACCGGGUUAAGUUCAGAAAUUUGAGGAAAAUAUAGCAGGCAACCUCUUAUAAUUGUGUAUCUGGUGCUGCCUCAAAAACCUCACCAUCCUCUUUCUUAACAUUUUUCUAUCAUUUCAAAUCUAUUUGCUACAUUGAUUCUCCUUUUUGCACUUUUUUUUAUUUUCUUCUAUCAUUUCCACUCUUCUUCACAUUAACUUUUUCAUCCACUUUUUGCCUCACCAUCCACUUUCAUAGCAUUUCUCUAUCAUUUCCAAUUAAUUCUACUUUUUACAUAUUUUUUUUAAUUUUCCUCUAUCAUUUCCACUCUUUUCUUCACACUUAACUUUUUCAUCCACUUUCUCAACAUUUUUCUGUCAUUUCCGAUCUAUUUGCUACAUUAAUUCUCCCUUUUGCACAUUUUUCUAAUUUUCUUCUACCAAUCUUUUCUUCACACUAACUUUUUCAUUCACUUUUUAACCCAUCCCCUGCAAUUGGCACAGAUUUGGCUUUCAUUGGUAGCCUGGUAACAUUUACUCCCAGGUCUGUGGUGGAUAGUGGAGUCUUUCCCAUGUGGUAUUGGUAUGCUGGAUAUCCCCUCCCAAGGUGCAGGACUUUACAUUUUUCUUCACUAAAUUUUUUGUUCCAUUCCUGUAGCUUGGUGAUGUCUUCUGUUAGGAAAUCCACAGUCAAGGGGUUAAAGAUUGUAUGGGAUUGCGAAGACACCGUGUCGGACUGUGGAAAUGGCUCUUAUUAGACAACCAGCACACACUUUGAUUGACUCUCUCCUUGGAAUGUGAUGACCAACAAUGGCUAAUGGACGGAGUCUACACAUCUGACUGACCAAGGCAGUGUCUGAGAGAUCAUUGUAUACUGAGUAAAAUAUGUAUAAGUAUAGAUUUUUCGUACACACACACACACCUUCCUUCUUCCUUCCCCCUUCUUCCUACCUAACUAUACAUAACUAAGCUCACUCCUCUUCUUUGUUUCCUUCUUAUCUCCCUCUCUUCCUCCCUCCCUUGGGAAAUCACACACACACACACACACACACACACCUUCCCUUCUUCCUUCUUUCCUAACUAAGCUCACUCCUCUUCUUUGUUUCCUCCCUAUCUCCCUCUCUUCCUACCUCCCUUGGGAAAUCACACACACACACACACACUGAUAAACCACACAAUUUUUUCUCAAUAAUUUAUGAGUGUAAUAAAACCAUGAUGUUAUGAAUUGUAUGAGAAAGAGACAGACAAAUAGAUAAAUAGAUAAAAAGAUAGAUAUAUAUAGAGAGAGAGCAAAAACUAUUAAACUAUACCAUAUGAAGCACACCAUAGAAACCACUUUCCCUAAAAAAAGUGCAUUGUGCAAAUCAGAAAAACAAAAAAAGUCAGUGAGAACAAAAUAUUAGUAAACUAGGUGAGAUAAAUCAUGCAGAGAACAAUUACAAAAACCUCAAUCACCCUACCAACCAGUAACUCUCUACACCCCACCCUGCCACCCUGCCCCCAUCCCCCUCCCUCUAUAUAAGGACUACUGAACCCUCUAUCACAAGGAAUUCCAUCCCAUCUUGCCCUCCAUUGAGUCUCUUCACCUACAGCAACCUUUUGUGCAUGUGAAAGGGUGUUUAUACUCUGUUCCGACAACCAUGUAAAAAAACUGGACUGCAGAAAUGUUAUCCGAAGACCACAUUGACGAAAAAGUGAAACGGGUUCUGUAUGAGUGCUGGAAAUGGGAAAAGCAGCGGACUAAAACCUUUCAAGAGGAGAGUAUCAGGCCACCUCUCCUCCCGAAACUGACCUCUCUUUUGACCACUCCUCUUUUCUCUUUUAUAUAGGAGCAGUGAUUAGUGAGCUUUUUUUCAUUGUUUUCUUUUUCUUUUUGCCCUUGAGCUGUUUCCUUUGCAGUAAAAAAACAAAACAAAAACACCUUAGAGUAGAGAAAAGGAAGCAAAGGGGAGGCGUUGCAAAGGCUAUCUCCCCGACCAUCAACUGAACUGAACUUGUCUUGUUUAUAGAUCGUAAUGUUUGUAACCCUAUCCACUCCUCUUUGAUAGGCCUAUACCUCUACCUUAUUAUUAUCUUCCUUUACCCUUGAGCUACAGCUGUGCGAGGCCUUAGUGCUCACCUCCAUCACCUUGAGCCUGUCCAUGGUGGGAGUUAGAACAGUUAAUUAUCAAUGCAAAGGAAAUCUAACUGAGGAACUUCAUUAAGGGUUCAUCGGCCACAGUUAUUGAUCUAAGUAAGUAUUAGUCUAAGUAAAAUUGCAUGAGAGAGUGCAUGACGACCCCCAUUCUAAUAUCCUUACCAAGAUAACUGGACACCGGACUUGCUUUUCAGACAACAGAGGGAUAAGGACAAAAGUAAUUGAUGCCCCAGAAACUCUAGAACUGAGGUACAUACAUAAAAAAAGUGGGUGAAUCCUUUUCCAGCAUCCUUACCAAGAGAACUGAACACCACACAAUUGCUUUUCAGACAACAGAGGGAUGACAAUGGAUGAGAUUUACUGCAUCGAACACCCUAGGACAUACUGCAUAAUGAGAGAGAAGAGUCCUGUCCUAACAACCUUACCAAGAGAACUGGACACCGGAUUUGCAAUUCGAACAACAAAGGGAUGAAAAUGGAUGUGAUACACUGCAUCGAACACCCUCAUAAAAAGAUAAAGGAGACGAGUCCUAUCCUAACAACCUCACCAAGAGAACUGGACACCGGAUUUGCCUUUCAGACAACAGAGGGAUGAAUAGAAAGUGAUUUUCAGCUUCAGAAAAAAGUGUAGGACACACUGCAUAAAAAAAAAGGUCAAGCCUUUUGCCAACAAUCUUAUGAGAAAAAUGGACACCCACCAGACUUGCUCUAUGGACAUCACACAGAGAAGAAGACACAGAGACAAGGAUGGAGAAAGUGAAAGACAGUCUACACAAGAUAAAAGAAGAGAUGUGAGAGAAACACUGAGCGACUGCCACACACAAGAAUAGACAAAAAAUAAAGAAAAAACAAUACAUUGAAAGCUGCUGAAAAGGCUAUCUUACCAACCCUCCAAUGAACCCUAAAUUAUUACUAUUAUUAUUGAGAUUCAUGAAAGGGCAUCAAGGGAAAAAAAUAACUGAAAUAGACCCAAAAAGAGUACCCAUGACAUGAACAAAAUAAGACAGUGAUAUUAAAGUAA